rnacentral:rRNA from 1 species
GGGAAAAACGCCGCUGAUUCGAGCUAGGAUCUCGCGUGCGUUCUAGAUUUCAUGGUUGAUCCUGGCGGAGGUCACUGCUAUCGGGGUUCGAUUAAGCCAUGCGAGUCGAGAGGGUUCAGACCCUCGGCGGACUGCUCAGUAACACGUGGAUAAUCUGCCCUAUGGUGGAGGAUAACCCCGGGAAACUGGGGAUAAUACUCCAUAAGUCAGGAGUACUGGAAUGUCCCCUAACUGAAAGUUGCGGCGCCAUAGGAUGAAUCUGCGGCUGAUUAGGUAGUUGUUGGUUUAACUCAUUUUUAAGCCUGUAAUCGGUACGGGUUGUGGGAUCAAGAGCCCGGAGAUGGAAUCUGAGCCACGAUUCCAGGCCCUACGGGGCGCAGCAGGCGCGAAAACUUUACAAUGCAGGAAACUGUGAUAAGGGAACCCCGAGUGCCCGUAAACGCGGGCUGUCCCGGUGUUUAAAACACAUCGGAAGAAAGGGCCGGGCAAGACCGGUGCCAGCCGCCGCGGUAAUACCGGCGGCUCGAGUGGUGACCACUUUUAUUGGGCUUAAAGCGUUCGUAGCUUGAUUUUUAAGUCUCUUGGGAAAUCUCACGCUACUGUGAGGCGUCUAAAGAUACUGGGCAUCUAGGACAGAAGUAGAGUACUCAGGGUAGAUGAUCGUAUCUGAGACCCGAUGCCAGAUUUACAAACGCUUCCACGUGGAAAAAAAACUGUGGGGCGCAGCGG